CAUCUGUGUUGGUGGCUGGGGAAGGUCUCUCCCCUGCUGAUGGCUGGGCACUCAUUCAGGAUCUCCCUGCAGAUGCCAACGUGGAUGAAAUGAGGAGAGUGAAGGCCUCUGGAAUACACAGCUCUGAAGUUUGUACAUAGGACAGAAUGUCAGAAAGUGAGAGGCGAUCCACCCCUUUCUCUGCAAGAACAAGGGGGAAAGCACAGCAGAGGUGACACUUAUCAAUAAAAGCAUGAAAUCCUUCUGCAUCAGAA